rnacentral:rRNA from 1 species
CGCGCAGGCGGUUUGAAUAGUCAGAUGUGAAAGCCCACGGCUUAACCGUGGAAGUGCAUUUGAAACUGUCAGACUUGAGUACCAGAGGGGAAAGUGGAAUUCCCGGUGUAGAGGUGAAAUUUGUAGAUAUCGGGAGGAAUACCGGUGGCGAAGGCGACUUUCUGGCUGGAUACUGACGCUGAGGCGCGAAAGCGUGGGGAGCAAACA